rnacentral:rRNA from 1 species
AUUGAACGCUGGCGGCAUGCUUUACACAUGCAAGUCGAACGGCAGCGCGGGCUUCGGCCUGGCGGCGAGUGGCGAACGGGUGAGUAAUGCAUCGGAACGUGCCCAGUAGUGGGGGAUAGCCCGGCGAAAGCCGGAUUAAUACCGCAUACGACCUGAGGGUGAAAGCGGGGGACCGAAAGGCCUCGCGCUAUUGGAGCGGCCGAUGUCGGAGUAGCUAGUUGGUGGGGUAAAGGCUUACCAAGGCGACGAUCCGUAGCUGGUCUGAGAGGACGACCAGCCACACUGGGACUGAGACGGGGCCCAGACUCCUACGGGAGGCAGCAGUGGGGAAUUUUGGACAAUGGGGGCAACCCUGAUCCAGCCAUGCCGCGUGCGGGAAGAAGGCCUUCGGGUUGUAAACCGCUUUUGUUCGGGAAGAAAUCCUCUGGGCUAAUACCCCGGGGGGAUGACGGUACCGGAAGAAUAAGCACCGGCUAACUACGUG